rnacentral:rRNA from 1 species
CCUGGUAGUGGGGGACAACGUGGGGAAACUCACGCUAAUACCGCAUACGCCCUACGGGGGAAAGCGGGGGCUCUUCGGACCUCGCGCUAUCAGAUGAGCCUGCGUUAGAUUAGCUAGUUGGUAGGGUAAAGGCCUACCAAGGCGACGAUCUAUAGCUGGUCUGAGAGGACGAUCAGCCACACUGGGACUGAGACACGGCCCAGACUCCUACGGGAGGCAGCAGUGGGGAAUAUUGGACAAUGGGCGCAAGCCUGAUCCAGCAAUACCGCGUGUGUGAAGAAGGCCUUAGGGUUGUAAAGCACUUUCAAUGGGGAGGAAAACCUGCCGGUCAAUACCCGGUAGCUUGACAUUACCUUUAGAAGAAGCACCGGCUAACUCCGUGCCAGCAGCCGCGGUAAUACGGAGGGUGCGAGCGUUAAUCGGAAUUACUGGGCGUAAAGCGUGCGUAGGCGGUUCGUUAAGUCAGAUGUGAAAGCCCCGGGCUUAACCUGGGAACUGCAUUUGAAACUGGCGGACUAGAGUUGAGUAGAGGGGAGUGGAAUUUCAGGUGUAGCGGUGAAAUGCGUAGAUAUCUGAAGGAACACCAGUGGCGAAGGCGACUCCCUGGACUCAAACUGACACUGAGGUACGAAAGCGUGGGUAGCAAACAGGAUUAGAUACCCUGGUAGUCC